GUGGGGAAUCUUGCACAAUGGGGGAAACCCUGAUGCAGCGACGCCGCGUGAGCGAUGAAGCCCUUCGGGGUGUAAAGCUCUUUCGACGGGAACGAUAAUGACGGUACCCGGAGAAGAAGCUGCGGCUAACUACGUGCCAGCAGCCGCGGUAAUACGUAGGCAGCAAGCGUUGUUCGGAAUUACUGGGCGUAAAGCGUGCGUAGGCGGCGCUACAAGUUUGGUGUGAAAUCUCCCGGCUUAACUGGGAGGGUGCGCCGAAAACUGUGGUGCUAGAGUGUGGGAGAGGUAAGCGGAAUUCCUGGUGUAGCGGUGAAAUGCGUAGAUAUCAGGAGGAACACCGGCGGUGUAGACGGCUUACUGGACCAUGACUGACGCUGAGGCACGAAAGUGUGGGGAGCAAACAGGAUUAGAAACCCUGGUAGUCC
rnacentral:rRNA from 1 species